UACGUAGGGUGCAAGCGUUAAUCGGAAUUACUGGGCGUAAAGCGUGCGCAGGCGGUUUUGUAAGUCUGUUGUGGAAUCCCCGGGCUUAACCUGGGAAUGGCAAUGGAGACUGCAAGGCUAGAGUUUGGCAGAGGGGGGUAGAAUUCCACGUGUAGCAGUGAAAUGCGUAGAGAUGUGGAGGAACACCGAUGGCGAAGGCAGCCCCCUGGGGUCAAGACUGACGCUCAUGCACGAAAGCGUGGGGAGCAAACAGG
rnacentral:rRNA from 1 species